GAAGAGUUAGUUAAUUUUAUAACAAUAGUAUGUCAACCUAAAAUAAUCAACUAUUUGAUACCCUUCU
rnacentral:tRNA from 1 species